UACGUAGGGUGCGAGCGUUAAUCGGAAUUACUGGGCGUAAAGCGUGCGCAGGCGGUGAUGUAAGACAGAUGUGAAAUCCCCGGGCUCAACUCCGGAUGUGCAGAGGAUACUGGAGAGCUGGAGACUGGUAGAGGCGAGCGGAAUUCCUGGUGUAGCGGUGGAAUGCGUAGAUAUCAGGAAGAACACCGGUGGCGAAGGCGGCGACCUGGUCCUUUUUACUGACGCUGAGGCGCGAAAGCGUGGGGGAGCAAACAGG
rnacentral:rRNA from 1 species